rnacentral:lncRNA from 1 species
UAGAAACUGGCUUCUACUCAAAGCAGACAAACUGUCUCUCUCAUCUCUGAAAACUAAAAAUCUAAAAAGAAAAAAUUAGGCUGAAUACUAGAAGGUCAGAGAGUGGCCUUUUUGUCAACUCUUCAUGGUUGUGUUAAGUGCCAUUCCAUUCUGAGCUGGCAGUUCUUAGACAUGUUUCCCUCUAGAACAUAACACUAGAGAUGCUUGGACCAUCUGUCUGUCCGACAGACCAUCUGUACAAGGCACUGGCACCCCUUCCAGAAAAUAGAAGAGAAACUGAGGACACUAAAUAGACGGAGUCUGUCACCCAGGCUGGAGUGCAAUGGCAAGAUCUCCGCGCACUGCAACCUCCGCCUCCUGGG